UGGGGGAUAUUGCGCAAUGGGGGCAACCCUGACGCAGCAACGCCGCGUGAAGGAUGAAGGUUUUCGGAUUGUAAACUUCUUUUAUUAAGGACGAAACUUGACGGUACUUAAUGAAUAAGCUCCGGCUAACUACGUGCCAGCAGCCGCGGUAAUACGUAGGGAGCAAGCGUUGUCCGGAUUUACUGGGUGUAAAGGGUGCGUAGGCGGCUUUGCAAGUCAGAUGUGAAAACUAUGGGCUUAACCCAUAGCCUGCAUUUGAAACUGUAGUUCUUGAGUGGUGGAGAGGCAAAUGGAAUUCCUAGUGUAGCGGUGAAAUGCGUAGAUAUUAGGAAGAACACCAGUGGCGAAGGCGAUUUGCUGGACACUAACUGACGCUGAGGCGCGAAAGCGUGGGGAGCAAACAGGAUUAGAUACCCUGGUAGUCCACGCCGUAAACGAUGGAUACUAGGUGUGGGGGGUCUGACUCCCUCCGUGCCGCAGUUAACACAAUAAGUAUCCCACCUGGGGAGUACGAUCGCAAGGUUGAAACUCAAAGGAAUUGACAGGGGCCCGCACAAGCGGUGGAGUAUGUGGUUUAAUUCGAAGCAACGCGAAGAACCUUACCAGGUCUUGACAUCCCGAUGACCGGUGUAGAGAUACACCUUCUCUUCGGAGCAUCGGUGACAGGUGGUGCAUGGUUGUCGUCAGCUCGUGUCGUGAGAUGUUGGGUUAAGUCCCGCAACGAGCGCAACCCUUGUUGCUAGUUGCUACGCAAGAGCACUCUAGCGAUACUGCCGUUGACAAAACGGAGGAAGGUGGGGACGACGUCAAAUCAUCAUGCCCCUUAUGACCUGGGCCACACACGUACUACAAUGGCGGUUAACAGAGGGAAGCAAUACCGCGAGGUGGAGCAAAUCCCUAAAAGCCGUCUCAGUUCGGAUUGCAGGCUGCAACUCGCCUGCAUGAAGUUGGAAUUGCUAGUAAUCGUGGAUCAGCAUGCCACGGUGAAUACGUUCCC
rnacentral:rRNA from 1 species